rnacentral:rRNA from 1 species
GCGUACUCUCCGGAGUGACGGGUACACUGUGGGGACCGCCGCUGCUAAAGCGGAGGAAGGAAUGGGCAACGGUAGGUCAGUAUGCCCCGAAUAUCCCGGGCUACACGCGAGCUACAAUGGUUGGUACAAUGGGUAUCUACCCCGAAAGGGGACGGAAAUCUCCUAAAACCAAUCUUAGUUCGGAUUGAGGGCUGCAACUCGCCCUCAUGAAGCUGGAAUCCGUAGUAAUCGCGUUUCAACAGAACGCGGUGAAUACGUCCCUGCUCCUU